AUGCCACAUUCUAGUCUGCUAUGGAAAAUCAUAUUCUCCUUCUUAGGAAUCAGCACAGCACAGAAGGUCACUCAACUACAACCAGCAAUGUUUGGAAAGGAGGGAGAUGCUGUGACUCUCACCUGCACGUAUGAAACCAGUGACAGCAAUUAUGCUUUGUUUUGGUACAAACAACCUUCCAGUAGGGAGCUGAUUUUAUUAAUUCGUCAGGAUGUUUAUAACCAAAAGAAUGCAACGGCAGGACGCUAUUCAGUGAACUUCCAGAAAUCAAACAAAUCCAUCAGUCUCACCAUCUCAGCCUCACAGUUGGGAGACUCAGCCAUGUAUUUCUGUGCUUACUUCAGUCCCACAGAGGAAGGAAUGACAUAA